CCCAAAUCUCAGCAGGUGAGAGCCAGAGAGGGAAGGAAUUGUUCUCUUGGUAGUUACCUGUGUCUUUGUAGUUGUUUCUUAGUUCUUUUCUUUCCCUGAUGCUUUGAGGAAAAAAACUACUCUUUCCUCCGCCUUUCUUCCUGCCCCUUUCCUGUAGCCUCUAGCCAUUUUAGAAAUGUUUGUGCUGGCUUGGAGUCAUCCGGCCAGUGUUUACGAAUGAUCUCCCCUUGGCCUCUGCCACCGCCUCUGUGUUACUAGCUCAGAUCAGAGCGAGCCCUCAGAGGAGAAGACUUCCACGUCGGGCACCUGCUUGUGCAUGGGGUGAAACUCCAUUUUUGCUACCUAGAGAGAGGCCUAACCAGGUGAAAGGGGGCUGAGUGCCUGAAGAUCACCCAGCAGGGCCAAAGGCACCCAACGGGCCGUUAUGAUCUCUCAGCAACUGGAUGCCCUUUGGAUGCAAACUUCUCACAUCUCCAUGGGAGGCCAGACUCUCCGGGUAGCAGGAGCUCAAGGGCACUACAGAGAGAAAUUGCUCCGUGCCUGAAGAGGGGAGGCCAGCCCCAGCGGUCCAGAGGAAGCACUUGGGAGAAGGGGUUUGUGUGGAGUGGGGGUCUCUUAGCUGCAGGGAUAUGUGGGGGAUGAGGGUUGGGUGGCAGUGGGGAUGGUGAAGCCGGCGCCACAUCCAGAAGAUGCAGCCACUCCGGACAGUCCCAAGGGUCAGCAGAAGCUAUGGGAGUUUUGGGAUCUGGGUACUUGGGUUAAAUGCCAAUUUGGCUCAUCAAUUGCCAUAUGAUGCUGAUGGAGAGACAUACCUGGUUAAAGAAAGUACCAGAAAUUCAAGAUGAACUGGCAUCUGCUGUAUUAACUGUCCUGAGGUACACACUUUGCCCCUGUUUUGGGAAAAAGACAAUAUCUCCUGCUUAGGUUUGUUUGGGGGAAUUCAUGAAUGUAAACAGAAGCAACAUGUGACCUGCCAGAAACCAUAUAAAAUGACUGUUGUGGGGUUGGUUUUAAAGAUGACAGUCCCCAAAGUCCAAGGGCAGUGCAGGAGACCGUUGCCCAGCUUAAGGGACAGUGGGUGCUCCAUCACAGGGGAGGCACCUCAGGCACUCACUGGGGGGCAGUCUCGGGAUGGUUCUUGCUCACUGCCCUGGAUCUGGAUUCAAUCUGAAUUCGGAGGUGGAAAAAUUUUGAAGUGGUCAAAAGAGGGGACAAGUGUCUUUGUCUCUCACCCAAGGAAAGACAGACCCUGGAGCCUCAAGGGAUGCCAUUGAGCAGAGUAGCUGGGCCAAGGGUGUGAGCUGUUUCCCCGGACAUGAGGCCAGUUUGCACCCAGUGUGACCACGAGGACUUUCUCCCUGCCUGGAGGUGGGGCCAUCUCCUGUGGGCCCGGUCAUCGCAGGGCAGGAAGCUUGGCUUCUCCGAUUCUUUUUUCCUUUUUUGUUUUUACUUUCUUCCUUUCCUUUCUUCUCUCUUUUCCUUUCUUUUCUUCCUCUCUAUUAUAGCAAUUUGCUGCCAUAGAUCUUAAUUUUCCAAAAGAAAAAUUCAGAAUUUGUGUUCUUGGAUCAUGGGGAAGGAUUCAAAAUUCCUCUAGCAGCAUUUCCCAAACAUUCUCCCAAAGAAUUCUGCCAUAUUCCAGACAAAAUGUAUCCAAUUUUUCAGUAGAGUUUUUUGUUGUUAUUAUUUUUAAUUGGUCCUGGGGAAUGAACCCGGGGUGAUUUACCAAUGAACUACAUCCUCAGCCCUGUCUAUUUUUAUUUUUUAUUUUAAGACAGGGGCUCACUAAGUAGCUGAGGGUCUUGCUAAGUUGAUGAGGUUGGCCUUGAACUUAUGAUCCCUCUGCCUCAACAACUGUUGUCCCCAGUUGCUAGAAUUAGAGGUGUGCACCACCGUGCCCAGUGAGAAUUUUAUUUAAAUAAACUUCCUUUAAAAUUUUCACUUUAAAGGAAAGUUUCAAUCAA